AACGAACGCUGGCGGCGUGGUUUAGGCAUGCAAGUCGAGCGAGAAAGUCCUUCGGGACGAGUACAGCGGCGAAAGGGUGAGUAAUAUAUAGGUAACCUACCUCUUGGACUCGGAUAAUUCCUGGAAACGGGUUGUAAUACGAGAUCGUCCUAUUGGGUCGCAUGGCCCGACUGGUAAAUGGUAGCUCUGCUUCUGCCGAGAGAGGGGCCUAUAUCCUAUUAGCUAGUUGGUGAGGUAAUGGCUCACCAAGGCUUUGUAUGGGUAGCCGGACUGAGAGGUUGGCCGGUCACACUGGGACUGAGACACUGCCCAGACUCCUACGGGAGGCUGCAGUCGAGAAUCUUCCGCAAUGGGCGAAAGCCUGACGGGGGCGACGCCGCGUGAACGAAGAAGGCCUCGG
rnacentral:rRNA from 1 species